rnacentral:tRNA from 1 species
AGUAAUGAAGUAAAAUUUACAUUUAGUUUCGACCUAAAAUUAGAUAUCAAAUCCUUACUU